AUGGAGAUGGCGCCAGUCGCCAGAUACCUGCGCAGCGCCACCUUCGUCCACGGAAAGGCCAGCCACCUCCUCUACAAGGUCAACAGCCACGGCGACACUCCCCUCCACUGCGCCGCCAGGGCCCGGAGAUCUUCCAUGGUCUCCCACCUCGUCGCCCUAGCUCAAGGCGAUGACGACGGUGCCGGAGACCGGCUCAGGGAGCUUGUGAGGACGGAGAAUGGGUGCAAACAGACGGCCCUGCAUGAGGCUGUCCGCAUCGGGAGCGACCACAUCGUUGAGCUGCUAAUGGCGGCCGACUCGGAAUUGGCUUGUUUUCCCAAGGACGGCGGCACUUCGCCCUUGUACCUCGCCGUCUUGCAUGAUCGCCCCGACAUUGCACACACACUGUAUCACAAGAGCGGUGGCUAG
rnacentral:rRNA from 1 species